GAUGAACGCUGGCUACAGGCUUAACACAUGCAAGUCGAGGGGAAACGACGGGGUAGCUUGCUUCCCCGGGCGUCGACCGGCGCACGGGUGAGUAACGCGUAUCCAACCUGCCUCUGACUGAGGGAUAACCCGUCGAAAGUCGGCCUAAUACCUCAUGGCAUCGUCUGCGGGCUCCCAACGACGAUUAAAGAUUUCAUUGGUUAGUGGAGGGGUUGCGGCUGCUUAGCUUGUUGGCGGGGUCACGGCCCACCAAGGCCACGGUCAGUAGGGGUUCGGAGGGGAAGGUCCCCCACAUUGGAACUGGGCCACGGGCCAAACUCCUACGGGAGGCAGCAGUGAGGAAUAUUGGUCAAUGGGCGAGAGCCUGAACCAGCCAAGUAGCGUGCAGGAUGACGGCCCUAUGGGUUGUAAACUGCUUUUAUGCGGGGAUAAAGUGAGGGACGUGUCCUUCAUUGCAGGUACCGCAUGAAUAAGGACCGGCUAAUUCCGUG
rnacentral:rRNA from 1 species